CCUACGGGAGGCCGCAGUAGGGAAUAUUGCUCAAUGGGGGAAACCCUGACGCAGCAACGCCGCGUGGAGGAUGAAGGUUUUCGGAUUGUAAACUCCUUUUGUUAGAGAAGAUAAUGACGGUAUCUAACGAAUAAGCACCGGCUAACUCCGUGCCAGCAGCCGCGGUAAUACGGAGGGUGCAAGCGUUACUCGGAAUCACUGGGCGUAAAGAGCGCGUAGGCGGGAUAGCAAGUCAGAUGUGAAAUCCUAUGGCUUAACCAUAGAACUGCAGUUGAAACUGUUAUUCUAGAGUAUGGGAGAGGUAGGUGGAAUUCUUGGUGUAGGGGUAAAAUGCGUAGAGAUCAAGAGGAAUACUCAUUGCGAAGGCGACCUGCUAGAACAUAACUGACGCUGAUGCGCGAAAGCGUGGGGAGCAAACAGGAUUAGAUACCCCAGUAGUC
rnacentral:rRNA from 1 species